GCCAGGUGUGGCGGAGCACCCCUGUAAUCCCAGCAGCUUGGGAGGCUGAGAUAGGAGGAUCAUGAGUUCAAAGCCAGCCUCAGCAAUGGCAAGGUGCUAAGCAACUCAGUGAGACCCUGUCUCUA
rnacentral:sRNA from 1 species